UACAGAGGGUGCGAGCGUUGUUCGGAAUUAUUGGGCGUAAAGGGCGCGUAGGCGGUGCGGUAAGUCACCUGUGAAAUCUCCUGGCUCAACUGGGAGCUUGCAGGCGAAACUGCCGUGCUGGAGUGUGGGAGAGGUGCGUGGAAUUCCCGGUGUAGCGGUGAAAUGCGUAGAUAUCGUAAGGAAGACCAGUGGCGAAGGCGGGUCUCUGGACAGUUCCUGACGCUGAGGCACGAAGUCCAGGGGAGCAAACGGG
rnacentral:rRNA from 1 species